rnacentral:rRNA from 1 species
CCUACGGGAGGCAGCAGUGAGGAAUAUUGGACAAUGGGCGCAAGCCUGAUCCAGCAAUGUUACGUGAGUGAUGACAGCUAUUUUGGUUGUAAAGCUCUUUCAAUGGGGAAGAUAAUGACGUUACUCAUAAAAGAAGUCCCGGCUAACUCCGUGCCAGCAGCCGCGGUAAUACGGGGGGGACAAGUGUUAUUCUAAAUAACUGGGCGUAAAGGGUUCGUAGGUUGGUAAUUAAGUUGAAAAGGAAAUCUCAGGGCCUAACCUUGAAAGCUGUUUCAAUACUGAUUAUCUUGAGUUUGGGAGAGGAUAGUAGAAUUUCUAAUGUAGGAAUAAAAUCCAAAGAUAUUAGAAGGAAUACCAGGAGCGAAGGCGACUAUCUGGAACAAUACUGACACUAAGGAACGAAAGCAUGGGGAGCAAACAGGAUUAGAUACCCUGGUAGUCCAUAGCUGUAAACGAUGAGUGCUCGUGUUUAGAGAAACGGCUUUUAUUUGUUUUCAUCUAGUCAAUGAAGUCAAAGGCAAAUUUUAAGUUGCUUUUCUAGUCACUUAGCUAACGCGUUAA